rnacentral:rRNA from 1 species
UACGUAGGUGGCAAGCGUUGUCCGGAUUUACUGGGCGUAAAGGGUGCGUAGGCGGCGCGUCAAGUCAGUUGUGAAAUCUUAAGGCUUAACCUUAAGCGGUCAACUGAUACUGUCGUGCUAGAGUGCAGAAGGGGCAAUCGGAAUUCUUGGUGUAGCGGUGAAAUGCGUAGAUAUCAAGAGGAACACCUGAGGUGAAGACGGGUUGCUGGGCUG